rnacentral:rRNA from 1 species
ACUCCUACGGGAGGCAGCAGUGGGGAAUAUUGGACAAUGGGCGCAAGCCUGAUCCAGCAAUGCCGCGUGUGUGAAGAAGGCCUUCGGGUUGUAAAGCACUUUUAUCGGGAACGAAAUACCAUUGGUUAAUAACCGGUGGGGCUGACGGUACCCGAGGAAUAAGCACCGGCUAACUUCGUGCCAGCAGCCGCGGUAAUACGAAGGGUGCAAGCGUUAAUCGGAAUUACUGGGCGUAAAGGGUGCGUAGGCGGUUAGUUAAGUCUGUUGUGAAAUCCCCGGGCUCAACCUGGGAAUGGCAAUGGAUACUGGCUAGCUAGAGUGUGUCAGAGGAUGGUGGAAUUUCCGGUGUAGCGGUGAAAUGCGUAGAGAUCGGAAGGAACAUCAGUGGCGAAGGCGGCCAUCUGGGACAACACUGACGCUGAAGCACGAAAGCGUGGGGAGCAAACAGGAUUAGAUACCCUGGUAGUCCACGCCCUAAACGAUGCGAACUGGAUGUUGGUCUCAACUCGGAGAUCAGUGUCGAAGCUAACGCGUUAAGUUCGCCGCCUGGGGAGUACGGUCGCAAGACUGAAACUCAAAUGAAUUGACGG